CUUAACAAAAUCUUCUCCUCUGCUGAUAUUACUGAGCUAUGAGCACUUCAAGUAUCCUAGCAAGGACAAAGAAGUAUGAAGAGUCCAGAGGCAGCACAGUCCAGGGGUUACUGGGUGACUGUGCAGGACCAGCUGUGUGCACUUCAAGGUGGAUACAGCAUCAGACUUGAAAUAACAGAAGCUGCAACAGGAAGUGGACAUGGUCUACUCAAAGAGCUACUGAAGCCACUGUUCUCACCACAGGUUCUCCAGCUUGGAUUGCCAC